AGUGAACGCUGGCGGUAGGCCUAACACAUGCAAGUCGAACGGCAGCACAGUAAGAGCUUGCUCUUACGGGUGGCGAGUGGCGGACGGGUGAGGAAUACAUCGGAAUCUACUUUUUCGUGGGGGAUAACGUAGGGAAACUUACGCUAAUACCGCAUACGACCUACGGGUGAAAGCAGGGGAUCUUCGGACCUUGCGCGAUUGAAUGAGCCGAUGUCGGAUUAGCUAGUUGGCGGGGUAAAGGCCCACCAAGGCGACGAUCCGUAGCUGGUCUGAGAGGAUGAACAGCCACACUGGAACUGAGACACGGUCCAGACUCCUACGGGAGGCAGCAGUGGGGAAUAUUGGACAAUGGGCGCAAGCCUGAUCCAGCCAUACCGCGUGGGUGAAGAAGGCCUUCGGGUUGUAAAGCCCUUUUGUCGGGAAAGAAAAGCAGCAGGUUAAUACCCCGCUGUUCUGACGGUACCCAAAGAAUAAGCACCGGCUAACUUCGU
rnacentral:rRNA from 1 species